GAAGUUGUGUCAGGGGUGGUUUAGGUUGAAUAUUCGGGAAAGGUUCUUCACCCAGAGGGUGAUUGGGCACUGAAACAGACUGUCCAGGGAAGCACCAAGCCUGACAGAGUUCAAGAAGUGUUUGGAAAUGCCCUCAGGCACUUGAUAUGACUCUUGGGGAUGGUCUUGUGCAGGGACAGGGAUUGGACUUGAUGAUCCUUGUGGGUGCCUUCCAAUUCAGCAUAUUCUGUGAUUCAGAUGUUUUUGUAUGAUUAUUAUUCUGCAGUAUCAAAACCAUGGCUGUUGAGCUAAACAGCUGUUGAGCAAAUCUAAAAGAUGUAAUUCCUAAACAGCUGGGGAGCUGCACAGGGAGGGAAGUGUGGGGAAUCAGUCUAUUUCCAAUACAGUUGGACAAAAGACUUAAAGUCCAACUUAUAGUUGGACUUAGACUGAAAACUUUAAGAAAAGGAUGAGAACAGAGAUUUGAUAUAUUUGAAUUCCUCUUGUUUCCCCAACAGAGUGUAUUCUUUCUCUGUUUGUGACACUGUGAUCUUGUUGGUACUUCCUUCAUAAUUGAAAUUGAUUUACUGGAAUUCAGAUUCUUAUGUAAAAUGCCAUUGACCAGAGAUUUUUCCAGCUCCAUGCAUUGUUUUGUAUUUACCUUUUCACAUUUUUCAGUUUCUGUAGGUGAAUACUACCUGAUCUUUAUUCACUGAGGAUUUAAAAAUGUUCUUUCCUGGAGCCAAGCUUCAUUUCUGUCUGAGAAGAUAAGUGUAAACUUAACAGGAAAUGGAAGAUUCAAGGAAGGUUGAGUCUUUCUUUAAGCUGGCUUUGCAAGGAGAGGAGGAGAAAAAAAUGACUAGCACUCCCUGUGCUUUGUUUUUCAUUCUGACAUUGUGUUCAGGGAAAAAUGCCUGUAGAUUUCGGAAUAUGGAAGGGCACACAUUUUUCUACCUUCCUCCUGAUGAUAGUUGUCCACUGCUUAGAAAUGCAGUUAGUUAACAAGGGAGGAUGCUUUCACAAGAAUGAUCCUAAACCAAAUGCCAAUCAUCCAGCUAGUAGGAGGAAGAAAUUCUAAUUGUCUUUAUAUUUUUCUUGCUGUUGCUGUUUCUUAUCCCAACUUCCCUGAACUCUCAGCCAGCAGAAUCAUCAUUUUUGGGGAGUUUUGGGUUUUUGCCUCAGCCAAUGGAUAUUUAAUUCUGAGAAGUUAUCAAAAGUGCCCACUUCAUCAAAGUAAAGCAGAAAAUUAGAGUAGUUUUAAAGGAAUAAAUUAGAGCAAAUUAUUCAGUGUUGGAGUAGCUUGAGCGGCAUCUGACUACAUCUUUCAUCAAAGGUUGAUGGGUUUUAAUCAAAAUGCAGGUAACAUAUCCAAAACAUGAAAAAACAUGAAAACAUGUUUUUGAUCGGCAGGAUCAUGACACAGAGAUUCUGUGUCUGUGCAUGCAACUCUGGUUUAAAGGUCUAUGUUCAAAUGUGUAGACACAUGGUUUCCUAUACUGAGAAAUAAAACCUCCUGUCUUAGUGCCUCUUAGUAGUGUGUGUUUAUGGUGUAGCUUUGUUUUUUCUUUUUUUUUUUUUUUUUUUCCCCAAUUCUUUUAUAUCUGGUGCCCUCUACAUCUGUUUAGUCUGAUCUGGGGUCUGGUGUGCUUAGUGUGGGAGAGAGACUGGGAUGUUGCCUUGUAUCAGUAGCAGGGCAGGAGUCUCCCUAUUUAAAAGACUUAAUUGAAAGAUAGUGUUCUGCAGUAGCAGUCAUGCAUUAUCAUCUGUCAUUUGUUGUGUGACUUCCAUGUCAUAUCUGUCCAUUGCAUGACCUGAUAUGUAGGCCUUAUUUUAGGAUAGAGGAGGUCUGAAAAUUAGUAUUACUGAUUACAAACAGCAGACUUCAUUAAUGUCGUUUUUCUGUGCCUUGGAAAUGCAACCUGUUUCCAGUCUUUCCUGGAUCCUUGUCUACUAAAACCUCUUGGUCACGUAUUUUAUUAUUAUUGUAGUUCUUUAUCAUGUUUGACAAUUACUAUUUGAUGAAACAUCACUGAUUUAACAGAUCUUUGACAGAAGAAACCUUUAAGUGAGGCACUGAGUAUAAAAAGCCAUUAGAAAAACAUGGUAUGUAAAAAUACUGCGUCUGCCUGUUUCCUUCUCUCAGCCCAUUGUGCAGUCUGAAUCUGACUAGAGAAAUCUUCACGUGUUUAGGAGAAGAAAUUUUUGAAUAAUUUCACAUUUCCAUUAAAAUAGUUUUUGUCACUGACAUCAAGUCAGCCUUCCUCCUUCCUGUCACUUCACCUGUCUAAGACUGCUUGCCAUUGUGUGUCAGUCUAACUGGAAACUACUUUCUAAAGAUCAUGAAUUAGUCCCAUGUUGAUGCUGUUCAAAACGAAGAAAAACAUGGCAACAACAAACUUUAUACAAUUGCUUUUAGUCUGUUCACAGACCUAGAUCAGUCACUUGGUCUGAAUCUUUUCUGUUAAGACUAACUGGUGUGAAGCAGCAGGUUCAGUCUUUUCUGCAUUGUGAGGAUUAUACUACAGAAGUUUUGAGCCUCUUUUGUCUCCAUAAAGAAAACAGUGAUGUAAAACUCCUAAUGAUGGUAAAACCCUUGCAAUUUGCUUUUGGUUUUCCAUUACAUGUAAGCUAUAGAUUCAGUAUCUCAGAUAUGAGAAUAGCCCAAACCAGAAUACUUAAUUCUCAAGUGUGCAAACAUUCAAAUCCUGUAUAAUUGAAAUAGCACUUAGUAGUUCCUUAUUCUGUGUGCCUUUGACAAGUUAAAGAUAAUAAAUAAUAAGCUUUUUCCCUUUUCCUAUGGAUGUGUGGAGAGAAAGAAGUAAAGAGAGCACUGAACUCUUGAAAAUGAUGGAAACUCCUUAGCAAAAUAUGCACAGAAACACUGCCAAAUACACUUGUUUUCCUCCAGUGUUUUUAGGAAGCUUUGUGUUAUGUAUGACCCACAAUUUGAUCAAACAGAGGUGUAUAUAGUGAAAACCAGUGUGUGAUCUUCUGGCUUUUCUAUUCACUGCAGACUUUCUGGGGUAGUGCAGGUUGUGAAAGCUGUGAGGUGUAAUCACUGAUUGAUCACUCAGCUUUUUUUUUUUUUGAGGUAAAGCAUUAAUUUUUUGUGUUUCGAAGUGCUGGAUCAACGGUCAGAAAGAGUUUUUUGGAAUUCUACUACAGUUUUGACAGCUGGGGCUGAGAAGUAGGGUACUAUGAGACGACAGACAUGCUGUUCGGAAUUCAUUUGGUGAUAUCAGGGUGCUGACAUCAACCCAAGUGUCCAAAGAAUGAAAUGGACAAGCUCCUGGUUACUGAGACGUUAAAAGAAAAGUGCUAAGUUUUCUCUAGUGUCUUAAACAUUGCUCUGUGUUUGUUAAUCUGGCAUUUUUAGAGGCAAUCUGCAAUGCCCUCAAAGCAAUGGAAAUACCUUUCUUGGAAAAAAAAUGGUUUGAUGCUGUUUUCCCCUCUGCUAAAAAUGUUUUCCUGAAAGUAAUUUUAAGGAUUUUACCUUUAAUUUCCCAUCUUUAAAUCAAAAUGUUCAGUUUGACAUCAUCAUCAUUAUUUCCACUGCAGCCAGGUGAUCUCACAAAAACAUUCGGAGGGCAAUGCAGCAGAAGUAAAUUUAAUGUUUUAAUGAAACAGUUAUUGCUUUAUGCAAAUAUCUGUGAUAAAAUAGACUCACAGAUGAGAAGCCAAAAUCAUUCAAGCUAAAAUCCGUAUAGUUUGUAAUCAAAGGCUGAAAAUGUUCCGCAGUUUCUUAAGGAGAUGAGAAGAUUUUAAUUAUUGUUGUCCGGUAUCUUACCACUUAGGUUAAUUAUGGAGAGUUAUUGUGAACUCUUAACAAUUUUGACUGAGGUGUGGCAAGUCAAUGGCAGAUAUACCCCUAGGAUUACAGUGACAGCAUUGCAUAAGCAAUAUAGGUCUUCACUGGAUUAUUUUAUAUUCCCAUAUGAAACUGUAAAUUAUUUCCAAGUACCUUCUUUGAUAGCUUCACCUUUCAGUUCUGAUCUUUAGCAAGAAUGAAGGUCACGCAACCACAGUGUCCUGUGGCAACUGUGUAAUCUGCUAAUAUUUAAACAUCAAGCAGUUGUUUGUUGUUAAUAUUGAAGGUAAGAAUUGUGAAAUAAAAUGUUAAACUGCCUUUACUUUGUACUCCCUGUCUUCAGGGAGAUUAUGUAAUAGUUUUAAACUAAAGCCCAUAUGGUGCUAGUUGAACAAACAGUGAUACCCUUGCUUCCAGGCAAAAGAGAGUCUGUUUGCAAACAUGUAUUUUGGCAUAUUUAUUUUGAGAUGACAGGUAAAAAUUUUUAAGGGAGAGAGAUACUUUGUUAAUGUGGAAGUCUGGGUUUUCUGUAGGCAGAGGCUUAUUAUCAUGUUUGUGUGGGAAAGGUUGAUAGUUACUGUUACUCAGCUUUCACAGACCAUGGCCAUGCUUCCCAUGACCCAAUAUGCCCCUGUAUUGAGUGUUGUAGGGAUAGAAAAAAGAAAAAUAAAUAACAUACUUAUUUUGUUUCAAGUAGCAAAAUGUUAUCAUUUGCCCAAGUAUAUGCUGGAAUGCUCCUGUUAUUUUUGUAUGGGGAAGCGUUCCUGACCGCAGGACUUCAGCUUUUCUUUGAGUCUCAUAUUUAUAGCCUUUUAAUAAUUUUACUUGGUGUGUGUGAUGUUGUUUCCAUUGUGAAGGUGCCAUUUUUCUUUUUAAGGUUGCAGAUUGGAUCCAUACACACAUAAGGAUUCAUGCCCACUCCCACACCCUUCCCAGUUUGCUGAGCUGCUGAGAUGUAGCAUUUUGAAUAGAGCUGAAUAGAUGGAAUUGAUUAUAAAUAGGAUCUUGAAAAGUGAACUUCUGUCUUCAAAGAAGAAAACACCACACUGAAACAAAACACAUUUACCUGUCAGUUAUUCCUACAUAAUUCCUGUCAUGCAAUUAUUAGUCAAGACAUGUAAUGUAUAGGAACUUUUCUCCAGCACAUUUCCUUUACUUACCCAUUCACAAGCAUGAAGUCACAAAUUACAGAUUACUCUAGUAACAACUUAACAUGCUGCCUAUAAACUUUCCAGAAGUUCGUGGGGACUGAUUGCACAUAACUAAAUUAUACAAUUUUUUUUUUUGUUAUUAUAGAAUUAGUAGUUAUUUAAGAGCAGGUCAUUCUGGUUAUGAUACCUCUCUGUGGCACUGCUCCAGGUCUGUUUUCUUCAAAAAGCAGCAGGUUUUGUUUAUUGUGCAAACAAUUUUGCUCACUCACUGAGACCUCAUGUUGACAUCUGGGAGAGAAAAUUACGCAGCAACCUUUUUUAACAUUAUUCAGGGUGUCUGUUCUUGCCAUUGUUGGUUGUGUAAUUCAUUAAGAUGUCAGGUACAGCACGGAAUGCCUUUUUUUAGGUCUCUGUGUGUACUGUAUGAUGUCAGGAGCAGUUGAAAACUCUGAAGAGCUUCCCUGGAAGUGCUGCAUCAUACCAUUGUUUUGAAUCUUAGGGUUGUGACUUUUUUUGGUGGAAGGUUGGUGUCUGAAGCUUGAAGCCAGGUGAAAGCAGGAGUGAUUGUCUCCAUUAAAGCUAUGACCUGUUGGGAUCCUUGAGCACCAUGAGCAUGGGUACCUUGGAGAGGCUUGUUACUAACUUGCAGGUUGCAUUCAGAGAUGGAUCUCCGAAGUCACUGUUGCUCUGCACGGUUGUGAGAUGAUGCUUGCUUAAGGUGCCACCUCCUGAGAACCAUGGUGUUAAACGGCCUUUUGUCUUGUCACCCACCCGUUGCUUUAUCCUGGUUAAAAUACAUAUUUUAUGCUAAUAACAUUAAGUGCCAGGUAAGAUUCAUUCUGCCCUAAUAGUCUGCCAAUUCUCCCUUAUAAUUUUUGAAUGAUAACAGUAUCAUUCAGUAUCUUCACGUCUGCUUUCUUCAGAAACUGUUUUCAAUCCUGCUGUUGUUACACUGGAGAAUUUUCCUAUCCUUUGCUUCUUUGGGUGAGAUUAAUGUUUUUUGCUAGAUGUAAGCCUCCAGAAGACAAAUUGCUGGAACUGGGGUGACUGCUUUUGAAGAAUGAACAUGAGGCAGUGGAUGUCUUGAGUUUAUGGUCAAUGCACUUGGUUGUACAAGUAGCAUUGUUGUUGUAAUAAAACAUGCCCUGGGAAAAUCAAAAGUGAAAGUCUCUAAUCUGGGGUGAGGGAGCCACCAAAUAUGUUUUAGCAGGUUCAUGAUUCUUAGAUAUGCCUCUGUUUCUGAAAGGUGUAAGGAAGCAAAGCAGAGGGCAAAGUAGCAGCAUUAACGUCUGUAAUCUCUUCCAUCUAGGGUGAACGGGAGUGGGUAUUUUUGAAAAAUACCCAUGACUAGAUGAAAAUGUCACUUGACCAUUCUCAGCAGGUCCUUUGAAAAUAAACUUUUUUGUUGAAGGACCCAUUGUAUAUUUUAUGUAGAAUUAUUACAUUCUUCAAGUGAGUGUUGAGCUUUGGUUUGCUGAGAUACACAGGACCAUGUUAACGUUGCAUAGUGGCCAUCACAACAUAGCUCACUUGUGCAUCUUUGGAUCACUGUCCUGAAGAUCAUCUGAGUAAAAAGAUGUUGUAGAAGAGCUAUGAGACAAUAGGGAAUAUUACUUUGUUACUUUGAGGAAGAAGUUACAGUCACAGUACAGUAGUACUUUAUGAUGGAUAGGUGGAGUGGUUGGAGAACUGGGCUUUUUCUGAUAGUAACAUGAAAAGUGAAAGAAAUUUCUGUUUUUAUCAAAGUUUUGGUUUCCAGGUUCAGUUUCUUACUGUGGUGUAGUACAUCGAUUUUUGUUGCAGGAAUGACAGCAAUUGUAUCCUUGUCCUAGUCUGGAGACUGACUACAAAUAGUACAGUUUGUCCCUAACUCGAUUUUCUGAUAAGUGCUUAGAGUGGUUUGUGUUGGCCACAAUAUGGUGCUUUUUCCUUUAGUUAAAUGAUUUUGCUGAGCAGUGGCAACGCCUAGCUAUUUUUACUUUGUAUUGGGGUAGUUCUAUUGUCCUACUAUUUUCUAGGUAUUUAAAUAUAAAAAUUGUAGAAGUAUACAGUCUAAAUGUAUUUUUACAUAGCAUCGAUCAGCUAAUCUUAGAAAUUCUUGUAGCAGUUUUUCUUAAGAUAUUGGUUAUCGCCUUGGUUUCUGUACCUACUUGGAAGUAUUGGAUGAACUGGACAAGGAUUUUCCUUAAUGUAUAUCAUUAGUAACUGUGUGUUGGUCCUCAAUCAGUUUGUGUGCAAAAAUACUGUGGCUCAUUGGGAAUCUCCUUGUGUGAGAACCAUCUUAUGAACAAGCCAUCUGCAUUUGUUCUAUGACUUUGAAAGUAGGAUCAAAGCUAGAAGGUAAUUGCACAAUAAAGUAGGUUUGUUAGCUUUGAUGCACUUGGGGGAAGUGAGGCUUCCACCUUCCAUAGUGCAGAAGACUGGGAAUUGCCCAGAAAUUUAUAAUUAUGAUGGAGUGAAGAUAGAUGUGAAUAGUUUUGCCUGAGAUAUGCUGUCUUUGUUAGCUAACAAAUUCCUUUUGUUUCACCGCUGUGUGGGGCAGACUCAGCACAGCUGUCUAGUUUCAAUAGUGUUUAUUCUGUAUCUCUUCAUGCUGAACCAUCUGAAAAGAUCCUACAGAAGAUUGUUGAGUAUUGUUAAUAACAUUCAUUUAUCUUAGCUUCACUAGAUGUUAUUAGACAAAGGAAUGCAGUAACUGCUGCUUAGUGUAGGGUUAGAAUUUUGCAAAGUGUAGUUGAAAUGUUUGACUGUGAGGAUCAGAACUGUUUUUAGGAAAGAAAGGUUCUUGUCUCAAGGCUUACUGUGCUCAGACUGGCUGUACCUGCCUGCUUGGUAGUUAUCAACUUCUCUUGCAGUUCUUCUUACCCUAAGCCUUUGGACAGAUAUGCCAAAUGCCAUCUGAACUGUAUUUUCCUAGGAGAAGUACUUAGUUUACUGUUAAAGAGAUCUGUUGAGAAGGUUUUUGGUCUGCAUUCAGUGCCAGCUCUCCUUGCAGUUAUCUGAUUCUAUGCUUGGUGAGCUGGUCCACAUCUUGCUUGAAAUCUUCCUUGUCAUGUCAAGUACUGCAUAGUUCACUUUCCAUUGUAGAUCACAAUCAAGUUGUUUUACUGCAGAAAGAAUGGCAGUUCUUUUGCUGAGGUAAAAAUACGCAUGUUGGACUAACAGAAAAUGCUUAUUGGGGCAGCUGAAAGAGGAGACAGUGCCUUGCACAGAUGCUGAUGCAGAACACUUGUAGCUGAUGAUAUGGGUAUGAUGAUGGAAAGCAACCAAGGAGAGUUGCUAGAUUAGAAGAAUGAUUAUAUAUGUUUAUGGUAGUAUUAGUCUAAAUGUGGAAGAAAAAUGAUUCUCAUCUACAUGAACAGGUUAUUUGUAUUAAAAUAAAAACUCGAGUGUUGUUUUAGCAUAAUUCUUACUAACAUUAACAGUAUUAAUGGGUUUUGGGUCUGAAUUCAAAUUUAGCCAGAAACUGUGCUUUAACUGGUUUCUGAUAUUCCAGUCAAUCAUUUAAACAAGAAUGUAAGGUCAAACCCCAGUUUGAUCUCCUUUGGAGUUGCACAUUUGAAGUGUAUAUGUAUACUUUUAGCCAGAAGGAAACAUUACGAUGAUCUAAUCUGACCUCUUACAUAAGCUGGGCCACAUGUGUUUGAGUCUUACAGGUGGACUCAAUAACUUGUGAUGAAACUAAAGAAUAUCCCUACAAGACAUAAGGUUUCAAUUUUAAUUUGAGGUCUUCUAGUGGUAUGAAAUACAUUGCAUUCUUUAGUUGUGUUUAAGAAUGGAUGAACUUCUGAAAAAUAAUCUUAAUUUCAACACAAGUUACAAGAGCUUGUGAUCACUUGUUGAGCCUUUCAUCAAACAUCUUUUCUCUGUAUUUGUCUGUAGAUGAUGUUCUCUAGAACUAAACAGACUGAGCUCACUGCUGUCAGCCCUGCCACAGCUCUGGCUCCUGCUUGGAGAAGGACUGCUGUCCAACAUCUUUCCUGCUCAGUGUCACGAGGUUUUUGAAGAUAUUGAGGUGUAGGGGGCAACCUUACCUCUGUCAACUUUUUUCUUCAUAUCUUAGGUGUAUUGAGAUUAAACAAAGUGAAAGAAAGAAUAUGAGCUGUUUAUCUCUUUAUCUUUGGUUAGGACUUGCUGCUGUUGCAA